rnacentral:rRNA from 1 species
CUUAAGGGGACUGCGGAAGGAUCAUUAAAUAAUCAAUAAUUUUGGCUUGUCCAUCAUUAUCUAUUUACUGUGAACUGUAUUAUUACUUGACGCUUGAGGGAUGUUCCAAUGCUAUAAGGAUAGGCACUGGAAAUGUUAACCGAGUCAUAAUCAAGCUUAGGCUUGGUAUCCUAUUAUUAUUUACCAAAAGAAUUCAGAAUUAAUAUUGUAACAUAGACGUAAAAAAUCUAUAAAACAACUUUUAACAACGGAUCUCUUGGUUCUCGCAUCGAUGAAGAACGUAGCAAAGUGCGAUAACUAGUGUGAAUUGCAUAUUCAGUGAAUCAUCGAGUCUUUGAACGCAACUUGCGCUCAUUGGUAUUCCAAUGAGCACGCCUGUUUCAGUAUCAAAACAAACCCUCUAUCCAACUUUUGUUGAAUAGGAUGACUGAGAGUCUCUUGAUCUAUUCUGAUCUUGAACCUCUUGAAAUGUACAAAGGCCUGAUCUUGUUUGAAUGCCUGAACUUUUUUUUAAUAUAAAGAGAAGCUCUUGCGAUAAAACUGUGCUGGGGCCUCCCAAAUAACACAUCUUUAAAUUUGAUCUGAAAUCAGGUGGGAUUACCCGCUGAACUUAAGCAUAAGGGGGGGAGAGAGAAAA